GACGAACGCUGGCGGCGUGCCUAACACAUGCAAGUCGAACGUGAAGCCGGUGCUUGCACCGGUGGAAAGUGGCGAACGGGUGAGUAACACGUGAGAAACCUGCCCCGGAGACCGGGACAACCAUUGGAAACGAUGGCUAAUACCGGAUGCCCUCAGCUGGCCGCAUGGCCUACUGAGGAAAUGCUCUGGCGCUCUGGGAGGGUCUCGCGGCCUAUCAGCUAGUUGGUGGGUAACGGCCUACCAAGGCAUCGACGGGUAGCUGGUCUGAGAGGACGAUCAGCCACACUGGGACUGAGACACGGCCCAGACUUCUACGGAAGGCAGCAGUGGGGAAUAUUGCGCAAUGGGCGAAAGCCUGACGCAGCAACGCCGCGUGAGGGAUGACAGCUUUCGGGUUGUAAACCUCUUUCAGUGAUGACGAAAAUGACGGUAAUCACAGAAGAAGGUCCGGCCAACUACGUG
rnacentral:rRNA from 1 species